rnacentral:rRNA from 1 species
GGGGUGCAGCAGGCGCGAAAACUCUACAAUGCAGGCAACUGCGAUAGGGGAACAUCGAGUGAUACUCAUCUUGGGUGUCUGUCCUCCCGUCUAAAAAACGGGAGUUAGCAAGGGCCGGGCAAGACCGGUGCCAGCCGCCGCGGUAAUACCGGCGGCUCGAGUGGUAGCCGAUAUUAUUGAGUCUAAAGGGUCCGUAGCCGGCUUUGCAAGUCUUUUGGGAAAUCCAGCGGCUUAACCGUUGGUCGUCCGGGAGAUACUACAUUGCUUGGGACUGGGAGAGGUAAGAGGUACUCGGGGGGUAGGAGUGAAAUCCUGUAAUCCUUUGGGGACCACCGGUGGCGAAGGCGUCUUACCAGAACAGGUCCGACGGUGAGGGACGAAAGCUAGGGGCACGAACCGGAUUAGAUACCCGGGUAGUCCUAGCCGUAAACGAUGCUCGCUAGGUGUCACAACAAUCGUGAAUUGUUGUGGUGCCGUAGGGAAGCCGUGAAGCGAGCCACUUGGGAAGUACGACCGCAAGGUUGAAACUUAAAGGAAUUGGCGGGGGAGCACAAGGGCGAAUCGC